rnacentral:rRNA from 1 species
AACGUAGGAGGCGAGCGUUAUCCGGAUUUACUGGGUGUAAAGCGCGUGCAGGCGGCUCGUUAAGUUGGGUGUAAAAGCUCCCGGCUCAACUGGGAGAGGUCGCUCAAGACUGGCGGGCUAGAGAGUGGUAGAGGAAGGUGGAAUUCCGGGAGUAGUGGUGAAAUGCGUAGAUAUCCGGAGGAACACCAGUGGCGAAAGCGGCCUUCUGGGCCACAUCUGACGCUCAGACGCGAAAGCUAGGGUAGCAAACGGG